AAGAAAACUAAGCCAGAGGACUCCAGAGGGCCCAAGGCCCAGUUUUCGUCCUCUGAGAAGUCAGUGAUGGCCUCCUUAUUAACUGCUCCCCAUAUUGUAGACAGUAAGCUCCGGCCUCGCUCCCGGCAGCUUGGCUCUGUCUCAAUAUUAGGCAACUCCCGCCAUUGCCCUCGGCACUGUCCUAGGUUGGCUUAUGCCACUCACCACAGAAACCUACCCUAGCUCCCAGGGUUUACUUCAGAAAUGCUCUUCUGGUAUUGGAGACCGCCCUGCAUGGUGACAGUUUCUAGGCUCCCCAACCUCUGUAUCCCUUUAAGAGCACAGCAUUGUCAUUUUCUUUGAUGAACAGGUAGGGACUGCACUACCCAAAAUGUAUUUUCUAUCUCCGAAUGAGUUGUCUGUCGUCUUUGUCUCUGCUGUACAUUAUUAAGAGAAGGUAUGAAGGAAAUAAAAAUGCCCUCAUCCUGGGAAGGAGACUUGAACUUACUUCAGACAAGUCAGUUUUCCUUACCCCAACCUAGAAUGUGAAUUAAACACUUGACCAGAAAGGAAGUCUCUCGUGUAUUAUACAAUAAAGAUAAAGAUCAGGCUUGAGUUCCUUCACCAAACUCUGCCUGGCUCAUAUUUUGGGGCCAAAGGUAAAGCGAUAAGGGAAAAAUUGUGAUGUUCUCAAUUUAAUUAUGAAAGUCAAGGGCUGGAAUGAAAAAGAAGUAAAAGAAAUUAGUGACGGCAGAGAACCAUCAAAAAAGAUUCUUCACGGUUUGGGACCUUUCCAUCCCUUCACAGUGAGUCCUUGGAUGUUACAUCCUUGAGUUCUCAAGGUACCUGCAAGAAAAAGGAUAUGUCCAAGCCCUCCACAGAUGCUCAGCCCUCAGGGGUACUCUCGGGCCUUUUCUGACCCAAAACACCAUGUAAGUCAGCCUUUCCCUCUUCCCCGACCUCUCUGAAUGGCAAGACUCCCUGUGAGCGUGAAGGAGCACAGAUUACUGUCCCGUUCCUGUCGCUGGCUGAGUGUGAAGCACUGGAACGCCACCUCCUAAAGAAACAACUAAGCAAGCUUCAGUGGGGCCUGCCAGCUCUCCUCCUCCAAAACCAGCCCUGAAUGCUGUGUGAAGCACCCAGUGAGGCUAAGACAGUAAAAACUUCCUUGGCAAGGAAGCCCUUUUUACAUCCCACCAGGGACAUCUUCCCAGAGCACGCAGGAAGGCUGCUGGAAUUCCACCUGCAGAAGCAGCUGAUUCACCUCCGCUGGGGGCUGCCCCAGAGGAUCCAGCGCUCCAUGAAUAUGCUGCUCUCCUCAACAGACCCACAGUCCCUGCCCUGUGGCAGCAGUAGCUUACCCAAUGUGAGCAUCUCACAGCCUGGGAAACCAGAGGCCAAUGGGCCUGGUGACAUGUUCUCACUCACAGCGGGCAAAGGGACAAUCCCCAUGCCACACUUGUUUGCCAAGACAAGGGAAAUGUUGAAAAGCCAUGUUGAUUCCAAAUGUGAACAGAUCCGGGAGGGCGAGGUCCCGGCCCAAGUCUGGAAAUCUUGGGAAUGCAAAAUUCCUGGAAGCUUAGCAACAGUGGCUCCCUUCCCUUGGAUUCCACAAGGCCAAUGCAGGAAGUUACAGGCAGAAAGUAAAAGUGACCAGGAGACACAAACCUUAUCUGGUACUCUCUUUGAACACUGUAAGAAGCCCCAAUCCCUGCCUAAGGAAACCAUUAAGAAACUGGAGACAACUUUACAUCAUAAGUAUCUGGCCUUCCUGUCAGGCCUGCCUGCCCUUUACUGUGUAGCUCUCUCUAGGCCUGCAUCCCCAGCAGUCAAUAGCCAACCUAGACUCAGAGAGAAGAUGCCCAAAGCUGUCAAAAGCCCAUCAAAUGCUCUGACUCAAAUAACCCCACUUGAGCCCUGCGCUCACGAUGACAGUGGGGUGUCUGUGGACACUGCAGAAGAGUUCCAGCCUGGAGCAGAGGCGGACAGAAGGACAGAGAAGGUGCCUGCAGAGAGUCAGCCUCCCCCAUGCAGACCCUACCCAAUAAACACACAUAUCUUGGCCAAACUGAAUUUCCACCUGAAAAAAAAAAAGAUCCUAGCAAUGCAGUUUGGGAUUUCUGAAAAGGAAAAGAGAGAAUACAAGGAGCUGGGUACAGCCGACCUAGAGAGCGAAUCCAUCCAGGAAUUUCUCAGAAGUCUACACAUGUCAGAGAGCACACUGCUUCAGGAACAGCCUGUCGCAUGCCCAUCUCUGCCAGCCCCAAAUGCAAAAGGGGUCCACCCUAAAAAACAGCCAGCUUCUGCAGUACAGGAUGUGUGUCAGGCGCAAAGGCCUCCUCCUUCCAAAGCAGUGCCCCAUAUUUCUGCCCAGCAGAGCUCCAAGGCCUCGCAAUCCCAAAGGGAUAAGACCCAAGUCUGUGUUGACAUGGAAGCUGGAGGGAAAAGGUUCAACGUAGAGAAAUCCAAAGUCGUGGGGGACCUUGGAGAAGGGGACGCAGGUCUUGGGUUUUCCCUGGUCGGUCAAAAGACACGCCAGGAUGGAGAGCAGGAGAAGAGGCUCCUGCACAGACCACUCCAGGGCUCCUCACAACAGGGUCACACCUUUCAUCUUGAGGAUGCCUGUCCACACAGUCCCCGGGAGUCCCCUGAGCUCCAGUUCCCAGACCCACCUCCAGAAGUCUUCAUGGAGACAGACUCUGAGCAGGACAUGGAAGACAGUCAAAGCGAGGAAUCCAUUGUCCCAGAACCUGAAAUUCUUUUUUCACUCUAUUAACCCCAAGAUGAAGAGCAAAGCACACACGGAGCCAUCCACGGUCUCUACACCUGGAAAGGUGGCCAAAACCAGUAAAGAAAAUGUUGAUAGGGGUCUGCCUCAUGCCAAGAGCCCCAUCAAGAAAACUAAGCCAGAGGACUCCAGAGGGCCCAAGGCCCAGUUUUCGUCCUCUGAGAAGUCAGUGAUGGCCUCCUUAUUAACUGCUCCCCAUAUUGUAGACAGUAAGCUCCGGCCUCGCUCCCAGCAGCUUGGCUCUGUCUCAAUAUUAGGCAACUCCCGCCAUUGCCCUCGGCACUGUCCUAGGUUGGCUUAUGCCACUCACCACAGAAACCUACCCUAGCUCCCAGGGUUUACUUCAGAAAUGCUCUUCUGGUAUUGGAGACCGCCCUGCAUGGUGACAGUUUCUAGGCUCCCCAACCUCUGUAUCCCUUUAAGAGCACAGCAUUGUCAUUUUCUUUGAUGAACAGGUAGGGACUGCACUACCCAAAAUGUAUUUUCUAUCUCCGAA